rnacentral:lncRNA from 1 species
UAAUGUAGGGGGUUCGUUUACAAAAGCUAUAGUUAUUUACAUUGUAGAAAAUUUGAGAAAUAAAAACUUAAAAGAAGUAAAACUCACCCUCAAGUCACUUUACCAUACCUAAUAAUACCUACAAAAUAUAUUUUCACUGACUAGAGGUGUCCAGUAGAAUUUACUGUGAGGUAUUCUGUGUCUGCACUGUCUAGCAUGGUAUAGCCAUAGGCAGCUAUUGAGCUCUUGAAAUGUAACUAGUGAGACUGAAGGACUCAAUUUUUUAUUGUAUCGAAAUAGCCACAAAUGGAGUUCCUGCCUUGGCACACUGGAUUAAGGAUCUGGUGCUGUCUCUGUGUUGGCGCGAGUGAAGCCAUAAAAGAAAAAAUAUGAAUAGCCACACGUGACUAAUGGCUAUCCUGUUGGACUGUGCAGUUCUAAGCCUUUUUCUUAAAUUACUAGAUAGAUGAAUAUGGUGGUGGUUUUUGUAAUAUAUAAAACAGUAUAUUGUACAUACUGCUUUGCAGCAGACUUUUAAUUUAUAGUAACACUUGCUCAUGUCAUUUGAUAAACUGAUUACAUACGGUGCUUUGAUGAACAUCUUUUAAGUCAUCUGGACAGUCUUAAUUAUUUCUUUGGAUAAACUGUAAGAAGUAGAACUGCUGGGCAGGGGAUAGAGCUAGAUAAAUGGAAGAAUAACGAUAUGCAAUAAAUACACACAUAUCCUUCACCUAGAGUAUUCUGUUGUUAACGUUUUCUUUAAGUUUCUAAUCUAUUUGUAGAUUUUGCUGAACAAUUUAGAAGUUGACCUGUAGACAUCAUGACAUUUGACCCCACGUAUUUUAACAUAUGUCUCCUAAAAACAAGGGUAUUCUAUGUAACCGUAAUAAAACUGUCACACUAAAGAAACUUAACAUUACCACACUACAUAUUCACAUUUUCUCCACUUACCCCACAGUAUCCUUUAUAACUUCAUUUUAGCCUCUGUCCAGGAGCCAGUCAAAUAUCGUAUGUUGCAUUUACUGGUCAUGUCUUGUUACUUUUCUGUUUGCCUUAAUCUAGAAGAAUCCCCUAGACUUUCCUACCUUUGUCUUUUUUGGCAUUGGCGUUUUCAUUGCAUGCAGUUUCAGUCCACUUUGAGUAGUGACUUACUAUUUUGGUAAGUGCUAUUUAAACUGUUUAUCCCUUUAUUAAGUUAAAUACCUUUUUGUUUUUAAGGUGGGUCAUGAUAACUGGGUACGUGGAGUUCUGUUCCAUUCUGGGGGGAAGUUUAUUUUGAGUUGCGCUGAUGACAAGACCCUGCGUGUGUGGGAUUACAAGAACAAGCGAUGCAUGAAGACCCUCAAUGCGCAUGAACACUUUGUUACCUCCUUGGAUUUCCAUAAGACGGCACCAUAUGUGGUUACUGGCAGUGUAGAUCAAACAGUAAAGGUGUGGGAGUGCCGUUGAUUGAGUCUCAUUUGGCCCCUCCUCCCUUUUUUCCUCUGGAUGCACUCUGAUGAUACCAUGGUUACCCCAUUGAGCUCUGUUUAAAUAAAUAUUGUCCUUUCAUGUAAAUUAUUCUGGAUGUAGAUUGAGCUUAUUAAAUGUUACACACAAAGUAUUCAUGCAUGGUGAAUCCAAAUUGUAUACUGUAAAUUUACAUACGUUGUCUAGAAGUACCUUAGGGUUUAAAAACCUGGGCUGGCAUUGGUCACACCAGGCCUAAGAAGGCAGAAGUUGAAAUAAAUUGAAAUAGGGCACUAAACUGAAUAGUUGACAGUGUCAUUUUAUGUUGGAUUAUUAAUUCCUGUUUUCUUUCUGCUAUCUGUUGGUGCCUGACUUGAUGGCCUCAUUUGGGGGAAAGUGGUGGUUAUUAGGGCUUUUUCUGAAAUGUGUAUCUAUGUAACAUCACUUAAGUGUGCUUAAUAAAUCUUCUUUAAGGAUGUUAGAUAAUAAGACUACAAUUCAAAAUCUUCUGAACCAUCUAUGUAAUUAAUGGGGAUUACACAUUGGAAUUUUUGUCAUGACACAUUUGCCAAAUCAAUAGGAUACAUUUGUUUUGGCAGCCUAUCAAGCAAAGGCUAGUGGUAUAUUUAUGUAAGAAAAUGACUGUAAAUCUGAAAUAAGAAAAAUCUCAGCAGCUAAUAGCAAAUCAUUUAGUUCAUUUGGGUCUUAAUGCUUUGUAAACAGGUUUUAAAAACACUGUAAUACUCUAAGCUUCUAUUUUCCACACUAGACACACUUCUAGUUGUAUUCUCCAUACUAUUAGACUGUAUAGUGAUGUGACUUCCAAGUAGAGUUUAAUCUUCCCAUCGAGUGUGUCAUGGUACAAAUCACUAUUGUUUUUGAUGUUUUUUAGGGAUGUGCAAUGUGCAUAACAUAAUGACAAAGAAAUAUUGAAAAGGUUAUGUUUGCCCAUUUUAAGGGAGUGGGAGAAAUACAGCGGUUUGUUUUUCAACAUGAAUCUGAUAUCGAUUUAAACUGUGUUUAACUUACAGGUUUAUAAAAAGACAGGGUUUAAUGGAGCGUGCAUAAAAAUGUACUGUGUUUUCACCUUUUGUUUAUAUAUAAAUGUUUAUGAGUAUAUGGGCCUAUCUAGAAGUGGAUAAGUCUGUAUAUGUAUAUCACACACAUACAACCUCCAUGUCCUUGGGUCCUGGGUUUUUGAAGAAGUGCUAAAACAUAUAAAUAGAAUAAAUCUUGCUGUGGAAUACCAUGCUUUAGAACAAAUCCUUUUUGAUCCUGACGCUUCUGAAAACUAGGUCUGACUCUGUGGGAAUUUUUCCCAGCUAAAGAAAAAUCACUUCCGUUAUCCUCCAUCUGCACCCCCAGUUUGGCUGUUGAGCAUUUCACACAUCCCUGAUAUCCUGUACAUUGUGAUCCAAAGUUACUACAAGUAGGUUUAAGAGAAUUUUUAUCUAUGACUUUGGAAACAAUAUUCCAUUGCAGAUUAUUAAUAAAUAAUUUCAUUGCUUAGCUAACCAACCUUUUUUUUUUAAGGAAGACAUUUGAAAAGUUAACAGAACAAUGAAAUAACAAAGAUAGUUUAACAGAGAAACUUAUUCUGGAUUGCAUUUGUUCAUUUGUGUAAUAUGUGAAUUUUUUUUAAUGUCCCUUUUAGUAUUCAAUGGAGAUUUGGAUCCUGAAAAAGACAAAGGGUUAGAGUUAAUGUCCUGUAGAUAACACACACAGAGACAGGCCAUAUAUUUACUAGAAGCAGCUUUAUGUCUAGUUUGUGUCUUUCGUUUUAAUAAUUCCUGAGAGAUGUCUCUGGAAGGAAAAGUGUUUUGAAAACUAAUGGCUAUUUUUAAGGACAAAAAUUACAACGUAAGCUAAUUUCUUAAAUACAGUAGAAUAACUUUCAGGACAAUGUUGCCUCACAACCCUGCUCACAUCGAGAAGUCUUUUUGUUUCCCCUUAGCUGUUCUGACUGGAUUUUUCUACAAAAGCUAUGGAAGAUAUCUUUGUUCUUGUUUGCUGCUAUUUCCUGUCCUAUUUUAAAAAAUACAAAUACAUAGAAAUGGUGCAUCUUAACAUUUGUUUGUACAUGUAUAAAUGUCUUGUAUUUUAAUUCAUUUUUAGCAUGUAGCAACACGAAUUGUUUAAGGGUAAGCCACAACAUCUAGAAAUCACUCCCAGAUACGAACAAUAAAGGAAAAAAUGGUACCGAUGUAGGAGGAAACAAAGCCUCUGUCCACUGGGUUUUCCCUGCAGCCUACAGUGACUUUCACUGACAAACAAGGAGAAACUAUCACUAUAAACAAAGUCAUCCUUGUUGGGAGAUUGCCACAGCCUGCUGCUUAGUCGAGUUACCAGACAUCCUCCAUUUGCGAAGCAGCGAACGUUGAAUCUCAGGGAUGGUCCUCAACUGGAUCCAAGUGUAACGAGCCCUGUUUGAAUAAUGAAGGGGGUGGGGAGAGCGAUCCAUCCACAAUCCGGAAGCAGAUUUGCAGAGGUUUCCUGCACUGUUGUUUUGACACUGCCCUGUUGAUGCCCUUUCUUCCUGUUUCCUCGGUUUUCUCUGUCUGCUGUCUAACCCUGUGCCUUGCCUGGGAUAAGUACAAUGUUGAGGUAACUGGUUUGGAUUGUAAGUAGAGGAAUUUAUUAAUUGGUUUAGAGGUUCACUGCUGCUUUGUCACUUUCUCAAUCAAACUGGCCACUUAUUUAAGAAAUAAAAAGCUGGUAGAAUUGCAUCCUCAGAUGAUGAUUGACCUUCUGUGUGUGUGAAAACAGACAUUCCAGUGCCACCCUGAUACAACGUGCCCAAGAAGUCCUAGCUGCACUCUUGAAAGUGCGAGCCAUGGAAACCGGCUUAGACAUGGCUUGGAGAAUAGUUGCUUUUUGACAUGGCAUCUUGCACUUUAGGAGACUGAGACCGUCCUGUUUUGUCCAUGUGUGGUGUGACCAAUGGUGUGCCCAGAGCACUGCUCUCAAACUCACUAGUGUUAGCACGUCGUCCGGGCUGUGGGCGCUCGCUGUAGUCUUCGGAAAGCUUUGGCUCUAGAUCACCAAGCCCAGUCUCCUUAAUGUCAGUGCCCUGCUCUCCUGUUUGCCUCUUUCUGUUUCUAUGUGAACUUCCAGGUAAUAUCACUCAUUUUAAAUAGUUUUUUUUUUUUAAUUUAUUUAAAGAAAAACUAUUUAGAAGUAAAGGACGUUUUAUUUUGUUGACAGUGGUGGCUUGAUAAUCCUUAAGCAACUGAAGCUAAAAUUGUUAAAUUGAAGGAAAAGGCCCUUAAAAUGGUUAUUCUCUGUCCAGCUGUAUAUAAGUCCGAUGUGUUACUAAUCUAGAUGAUGCAAAGAAGAAUCUCCUGGUAGAGACUCGACAUGUACAAAAUUGGUGGAAAAGGUUUUGGUUUUUUUCAGAGGGGCGGGGGGAGGGCAAGCUGGAUUUACAAGUCACGACUGGACCGAACUGGCCUUUUUAUCUUUCCACUGUAUCAUGUAAGUAGCUGCUUUCUUGUCCUGCCUACCCUUCAGGCAUCCCUCAAGCUCACUCUGAAGAUGGUAGAAACAAACAUAAUCUUCGAGUUCGAAGUUGAUCCUGACACUGACAUGAAGGCGAGCGUUGAUUUCAUAAUGAACGUCACAGAGGUGGUGAUUGGAGAAAACAGUUCCCCAGAUUGUAAGAGUUAACUGAAGAUAUUGACACAAUUUUAAAAAAUCAGUAAAGGAAUGUAUAUAAUAUUGCUCUUGUGUUUUACAGUAAGAUUUGUUGCUCUCAGACUGUGUAAAACAAGAUUUAUUCAUGUUUUCUGCAUAUUAAAAAAUCUUAUUGUACCAAUUGGUAAACUAUUAAAUGCCUAUAAAACU